ACACAUGCAAGUCGAGGGGUAGGCAUCUUCGGAUGUUGAGACCGGCGCACGGGUGCGUAACGCGUAUGCAAUCUACCUUAUACUAAGGGAUAGCCCAGAGAAAUUUGGAUUAAUACCUUAUGGUUAAUAGAGUUGGCAUCGACUUUAUUAUAAAGAUUUAUUGGUAUAAGAUGAGCAUGCGUCCCAUUAGUUAGUUGGUAAGGUAACGGCUUACCAAGACGAUGAUGGGUAGGGGUCCUGAGAGGGAGAUCCCCCACACUGGUACUGAGACACGGACCAGACUCCUACGGGAGGCAGCAGUGAGGAAUAUUGGUCAAUGGAGGCAACUCUGAACCAGCCAUGCCGCGUGCAGGAUGAAGCAUCUAUGGUGUGUAAACUGCUUUUGUACGGGAAGAAAAAACAUUACGUGUAAUGUACUGACGGUACCGUAAGAAUAAGGAUCGGCUAACUCCGUGCCAGCAGCCGCGGUAAUACGGAGGAUCCAAGCGUUAUCCGGAAUCAUUGGGUUUAAAGGGUCCGUAGGCGGCUAUAUAAGUCAGCGGUGAAAGUUUUUGGCUUAACCAAAAAAUUGCCAUUGAUACUGUAUGGCUUGAAUUAUUGUGAAGUAACUAGAAUAUGUAGUGUAGCGGUGAAAUGCUUAGAUAUUACAUGGAAUACCAAUUGCGAAGGCAGGUUACUAACAAUAUAUUGACGCUGAUGGACGAAAGCGUGGGUAGCGAACAGGAUUAGAUACCCUGGUAGUCCACGCCGUAAACGAUGGAUACUAGCUGUUUGGUUGUAAGACUGA
rnacentral:rRNA from 1 species